rnacentral:misc_RNA from 1 species
UUUUUAUUUGCUUCUUCUGCUGCUUUUCAUGUGUUAUGUGUGUGUUUUCUAUUUGUUUUUGCUUAUAGACUUCUUUUUCGUCAAGGGUAUUCAAUUCUAUAUGAGACGGCUAUAGUAGCAGUAGUACUAUAAGUAUUUGCGGUGAUGGGUUGUCGUUAAUAAUUCUCCUUUUGGUUUUAGUAUUGGAUGUAUUUUUGUUAUUGAAUGUGUUUUAUUUGAGAGAAAGUUAGCUUUAUUUACUUUACGUGAUGAUUGUUUUAGUUUGCUUUGCUGCUGUUGUCAUGCGGUAUUACCUGAA